CUUUCGUCUUCUGUUUGUUUGAUAAAAUUUGAUUUUUUACUGGUUUUUGAGUUUUUACUAUACUGUUGCUGAUAUGUGGUUUGCAAUGUGGAAUCUAGCUAGGGAUCUUUCUGAUAACUUGCUUUGUGGAGACAUUCCCUUCUCUCUAUCUAAGUUGAAGCAACUUGAUGCCUUGUGAGUGACUGUUUUUUUAGUUUCGUUCACUGUGCUUCAAUGGGAUUUUUGUGAUUCUUAUGGCUGCUCGGGAUGAGUUACGAAUGUUUUUCUUGUUUUUCCAUUGGAUUAUGGCAUGGUUUGGGCAACAUCUGAGGAUGGAAGCCGUAUGUUCUCUUUUGUUCCAUCAGAUCUUGAGCUAUUAUGAAAAGACCAUUGCAUGGUUUUCCAUCAGAUCUUGGGCUAUUAUGAAAAUUCCAGAAAGAGAUUUGUGUUCAUGGAAUGUUUGAUAAAAUGUAUGAGAGACAACUUUUCUUGGACUGCAAUGAUUUCUUAGAGAGACAACUCCUAAUGAGGCUUUGGAGUUUUUUAGAAUGAUGACGAGACGUGAGAAUUCCAUUCCAAUGUUGGUGUAUUUGUUUACGGGGCUGCGCGGUUAUUUAAUAAUUUUUUUUUAUUUUAAAGUAUUAUUUUUAAGAUAUGUUUAGAUUGUUUUGAUUAAUUUUAAAAAUAUUUUUUUAUUAUAUUUUAAAAUAAAAAAUAUUUUAAAACAUAAUAGCUACCAUAAUCCAUAAUCCAAGAGAUAAUCUAAAGGAAUGGAUAAGUUUCAGGGUAUUAUAGAUGGAAUUUGAUUAUAAUUAUGAAUUAUGAAUGAUAAUUUUUAUAUUUGAAAGCUUUUCAGUUAUUAAAAUAAAUAUAAUUUUUUUUUUGCGUGGUUACCUAACAUAUAAAUCAUAGAAUAUAAAGUAUAAUUUUUCAGAAAAGAAAGAAAGAAAUGCUUGGGUGAAAUUCCAUGGGUUAUCUCAUCAAAUAUUAUUCAUGUAAUCUCCACGCAUCAAUAUUGGACCGCCAAAUGAUUUGAAUGUUGCUACAAUAAAUUCCAAGGCUUGCGUUGCAUUGCGUUGCGUUGCGUUGGAUUCUCAAACAAGGCAGGCAGGCAGAUUCCUACAAGAGGUGGUUCAAACUUGAUUUCCCAUCCCUGGCCGAUUUAGCGGUGAUGCUAUUCUGUCAUUGCUGCUCCUCUUUUGCUUUUUAAUUAACCUUUCACCUGAAACUCUGCAGCUCUCUCCCUCCCCGCACAAAUCGACAAGCUCAAAUGAGACCACAGGCUCUCUCUAGGUUGGUGGUUUGGUGCACCAAUAUAUGUGGGCUGAUCUACUUGUUUUGACUUAUUGUUUUGCUAGAAAAGUCCAUGAAGAGUUCAAAGCUCUGCAUAUUCUUCCAAGCUGUGGGAACACAAGAAAAUCUUGUCUUAACAUGUAGAAAAGAUUACCAACCCACAAAGAAACAUUUGAUAGCGAUCACUUAAUUAUAUAGACAAUUGAUGAUGGGAAAUUUGAUUUCUCAUGAAAAUCUUGCUACUUUUCCUAAUUCUUUUUGUGUUGAUAAAAAAAACCAAGUCGGACUAAGGAAGGAGCACGGACAUGAGGCUAGCAUUGAUCUAAGAAAUGUCAUUAUGCCGCCUCCAUGGUGACGCCGCAGAAAUGUAAUGAGAGAAUAUUUUAGCAGUGACCAGUAUCUGUUAGUUCUCUGUCCUUUUA